GGAGAGGUGGCCGAGCGGUUGAAGGCGCCGGUCUCGAAAACCGGUAUACCGGAUCCCCGGUAUCGCGGGUUCGAAUCCCGCCCUCUCCGCCA
rnacentral:tRNA from 1 species